UCUUGUCAUGCCAUACUUGGGGUUUCAAGCCGUCCUUUCAACAUGUCUUGGGGUCAUGAUGGCCCUACUUUGUCAUUGUAGUUACCAGCUAUUUUAUUGAGGAUUCCGAAGGUCCGGCUGUUAGGAAGCGCACUUGUCACGUAUGGCUAUGAUGUGAUAUCGAGAUGUUGCCUCCAUUGUGGCCAUUCCUUUUUGGGGCUAUGAGUUUCCUUCCAUUAUCCUUUUAUAUGGAGCCUGAUAGGGUCAUAACAAUGAUGUCUAGACUUCGUCUUCAUCCUCUUCAUCUUCUUCCUUUGCAUCUGUUGUCCUUACGGUGGUGGUGCAGCGGCUGAUGUGUCUGGCUGUUGGUGCUCUUUAAAGGAUCAUCUGUCAUUUGUUUGUUUUAUGCACUCCUUCAUUUUCCUUAUAAAACAUUAAGUGUUUCUUCCUUUUUUAUUCUUUCCUUUCUUUUCUUUAGCUAUGGUUUCUGCCGCUUCCUUUGUAGACUAUGGCAAGUCAUCUAACCCUGAUGUUAGGGCGUCGAUUCUGGGAUCUGCUCCUUGCGCUGGUACUUCACACCAUCGUAAGAAGGUUGCUAAGAGGCCUCCUCGCUAGAAGCAUAAGGGUAAGAUUACCCUGGGGUAUACCGCUAAAUCAUAUACAACGUCAGAAUUAUCCAUUGGUCAAGUUUUUUCUCGGUUGACAGCGAGAGAAAUAGGAAGAUUUAGGGAGAUCUAUCACAUCCUAGACUACCCAUUGGUUAGGUUUUUUCUCGAUUGACAACGAGAGAAAUAGGGAGAUUUAGAGAUAUCUAUCACAUCCUAGACUCGAUGUCACUUAGGCUUCCCAAAGCAUGGGAGAGGGCUAACGGUGGGAGACAGGGUGAGGCUUGCUUUUAUGAACAUGCCCUCAUGACUGGUCUUCAGUUUCCCAUUCCUAAAUUUCUUUUUGGGUUCUCCGCAACUAUAGGGUUGGGAGAGGGUUACGGUGGGAGAGAGGGUGAGGCUUGCUUUUAUGAACAUGCCCUUAUGAGUGGUCUUUGGUUUCCCAUUCAUGAAUUUCUGUCUCAGGUGCUCUGCAACUAUAGGGUUUCCCAACGUAGCUUGUUCCUAAUGCCUGGAAGGUCAUUGUGGCCUUCGUUAUCAGGUGUGGUCGGAUAAAGAGAACCCCUACCAUGAAUCUGUUCGUGAAUGUCUUCAUCUUGAUCACCAAUCGCAACUUUCUUGGGUGGUUCUAUUUCAAGAGCAGGGAUAGAUUGGAUUUGGUCUUAGAUAAUAUGCAAACCUCAAUCCAUAGGUGGAAGGAUAAGUUUUUCUUUGCCAAGGACUCAAGGCCAUUCAAAUAUCUGACUUCCUGGUUGGUAGUGAACACUUGCAAGGGUAAUGUGGCUCCAACAAUUGGGGAUGAGGAGAAUGAAACCCAUUAGUUGCUGAAGGUUCCUAUCCAUGUGGUGGUUAGUUCUGAGACUUCAGAUGACAAUUUUUUGGGAUGUACGGCCUUAGUCCUGGUGGGCUUUGCUAGUAUUAUGUGGCGAUUAAUCAGAGUCUCCUCUUAGAGGUUUUGGAUGAGAUGGAGGAAGAAGAGGCUCAGAGGGGAGACACUCAGGAAGGGAUAGCCUAAGAGGGAGGCAUUGGUGCUACCUCAAUGGCUAUUGUUCAGGAGGUCAUGCGCAAAUGGGUUCCUAUCAACCCAAUGAGUCUGAUUCGUCCUCUGAUAAGAUUCCUCUGGCUUCCUAAAAACAUAGACGUCAAGAAAGGGAAAGUGAGUUGAAUAAGAGGAAGAGGAAUGUGGCUGUUGUCCUUCCACAAGAGCCUGGUACAAAUGUGGUUGGUGGUCCUUAGGUUUCUUCGGCCCACUCUUCGCAUGGCGGUGUUUUUCGAAAUGAAAGGGCAGAGGUCAUGGCUAAUUACAGGGAGUCCCUUGGAAUUCAUACGAAUUUUGAGGCGGAGUUCUUAGCUAUUAUCUCAGGUAUAGAGAAGGCUGAAAUUCUGGGAGUUCAAAAGUUGUGGAUAGAAUGUGACUCGGUUGUUGUGGUAACUCUGAUUCUCAAAAACAAAGUUCCUUGGAUUGUUCAUCGGAGGUGGAUUCUCUGUCAGAAGUAUUUGGAGUGUGUGGACUGGAAAAUCACUCACUGCUAUUGGGAAACAAAUUCUAUAGCAGAUUUUCUAUCAAAAUCAGCUGCUCAUUUUGAGAUUUCAGACCCAGUGAGCACCUGGCCUGCUUUGGUCAAGAUGGAUCUAGACAUUGAUGCUUUGGGUCAUCCUAGAUAUAGGAUGACUUAGUUUUUCUUUUUCUAUUCUUUGAUUGUCAUUGUCGGGGUGUGGAGUUUUUAGAAACUCUUUUCUAUUGAUGCAAUGCCGAAGGUGGAAUAGUGUUUCUUCCCUUCAUACUUUUAUCUUAGCGAGGUUUUCCCAAAUCUCCAAUCAGUUCCCUGUAAUAUUUUUUCAUUCUUUUCUUUUUUUAAUAUAAAUAAUCUUUAGUGAAAAAAAGA